UCAGGCAUGGUGCAAAGGUAGCACACCGCAGCUCAAAGGGAGUUGUAGUGGAGAUCGGGGUUCGAUUCCCUGUGCCUGGA
rnacentral:tRNA from 1 species